rnacentral:rRNA from 1 species
CCCUAUGGGGUGCAGCAGGCCUUUGCCGCAGGGGCCAUGGACUAUAUCGUCAAGCCGUAUCCGAAGGCCGAGAUCCUCACUCGAGUGGCUUCGGCACUGCGCCUGAAAAGGGAGAUCGAUCUUCGAAAGGAGAGGGAAGAUGAGCUUUUCGAGCUGUCCAGGGAGUUGGAAGAGGCUUAUGAGCGGUUGAAGCUCAUCGCCACUCUGGAUGCGCUCACCUCGAUCCCCAAUCGGCGGUCCUUCGAUGAAAAGCUCGCCAGGGAAUGGCGUCGUUGCGCUCGCAGCCACAGCCCGCUUUCCCUGAUCCUCGUGGAUAUCGAUUUCUUCAAAGCCUUCAACGAUCACGAUGGACAUCAGGCGGGGGGGC